GUGGGGAAUCUUGCGCAAUGGGCGAAAGCCUGACGCAGCCAUGCCGCGUGGAUGAUGAAGGUCUUAGGAUUGUAAAAUCCUUUCACCGGUGAAGAUAAUGACUGUAGCCGGAGAAGAAGCCCCGGCUAACUUCGUGCCAGCAGCCGCGGUAAUACGAAGGGGGCUAGCGUUGCUCGGAUUUACUGGGCGUAAAGGGCGCGUAGGCGGACAUUUAAGUCAGGGGUGAAAUCCCGGGGCUCAACCUCGGAACUGCCUUUGAUACUGGGUGUCUUGAGUAUGAGAGAGGUGUGUGGAACUCCGAGUGUAGAGGUGAAAUUCGUAGAUAUUCGGAGGAACACCAGUGGCGAAGGCGGCUCACUGGCUCGAUACUGACGCUGAGGUGCGAAAGCGUGGGGAGCAAACAGGAUUAGAUACCCGGGUAGUCC
rnacentral:rRNA from 1 species